UACGAGUGCGUCGAGCGUUAUCCGGAAUCAUUGGGCGUAAAGAGCGUGUAGGCGGCUAUUUAAGUCCUGCGUGAAAUCCUGCGGCUCAACCGCAGACGGUCGUGGGAAACUGGAUGGCUAGAGUGCGGGAGAGGAGAGUGGAAUUCCCGGUGUAGCGGUGAAAUGCGCAGAUAUCGGGAAGAACAUCAGUGGCGAAGGCGGCUCCCUGGAACGCAACUGACGCUGAGACGCGAAAGCGUGGGGAGCAAACAGG
rnacentral:rRNA from 1 species